rnacentral:rRNA from 1 species
ACACCGGCAGCUCUAGUGGUAGCAGUUUUUAUUGGGCCUAAAGCGUCCGUAGCCGGUUUAAUAAGUCUCUGGUGAAAUCCUGUAGCUUAACUGUGGGAAUUGCUGGAGAUACUAUUAGACUUGAGACCGGGAGAGGUUAGAGGUACUCCCAGGGUAGAGGUGAAAUUCUGUAAUCCUGGGAGGACCGCCUGUUGCGAAGGCGGCUAACUGGAACGGUUCUGACGGUGAGGGACGAAAGUUAGGGGCGCGAACCGGAUUAGAUACCCGGGUAGUCCUAACUGUAAACGAUGCGGACUUGGUGUUGGGGUGGCUUUGAGCUGUUCCAGUGCCGAAGGGAAGCUGUUAAGUCCGCCGCCUGGGAAGUACGGUCGCAAGAUUAAAACUCAAAGGAAUUGACGGGG